rnacentral:lncRNA from 1 species
CAGCAGCCAAAGGACUGAGGCAAAACAUUGGAAGCAACGCUUUCCUACAAUAUGGCAUUUGAAAACCUUCUAAAAAUUCGAGAAUUAGGAUUGUGAUAUGAAACUGAUAAAAGAUGCACUUUGCCACAUUAUUGCAAUGAUGUACAUUGCCUGCUGGGGUGGCAGAAAGUGAAUUUGCAGUACUGUGCUCUUUUCUAAUAAUCUCAUCAACAAAAUAUUUGCCAAACCACUAGAGUAGAAACUGACUUACAUCGGCUAUUAUUAAUUUUGCUAACCAUUAUUGCAGGCUGCACUGGAAGGAACAAUGGAAGUCAGCAAGAACACCUCGAUCUUAAGUGAUAAGAGGUUUCUGUAAGGUUCUUUCUAACAUUCCCUGAUCUCUGGCAGCUGUCAUGCUAAAUGGGUGCAGCUGAGGGAGAAAUACUUGCCUGGCUCUGUUGAGAGAAGAUUAUCAGGGGCUUCUUUGUCCUUGCACGCCUGUAUCCCAGGAGAACAGAAACUCUCUUUUUUUCUCACUUCUACAAUCCUUUUGAUUGCAGUUCUUAAGAACUGAUGUUCAUAGGCUUUACUGGAGCCUUUUAGACUAAAAAAAAUUCCACAGUGACUCCUCCAGUAUUGCUUUUCAAUGCCAGCGUGGUGGCACAAUAUGGAAAUAAAGAGGAACAAACCUUUAAACAGAUACAUGAAGGACGUGCUGGUAUAUACAUCAUAGUGUCAAGUUUGAAGCAUACUUUUGCUGUUGUAACUACUAUUAAUUCUCUGCUUGCCAACGAACCAGCAGGGAGGGAAGGGUAAAGUGGAAUGUAGACUCCAGACAUCAAGAAGACAAACCUUGAGAGCCAAGGACACUUCACGAGGUCCCACCAGCCAUGGACCUACCUGUGGAAAUUAAGGUCUAGGACAUCUACGGCUGCCUGUGGAUGGCAUUCAUGGAGAGAGAGAAAUGAGGAUGUUCCAGAAAUACCAUCUUCAGCAAUACUUCCAGGCAUUCCAGAAAAGUGCACAUCAUCUCUGUGUUUCCUUGCAGGUGGAGAAGUUGAUGGAGCAGGUCUUUGGCCUCAUGCUCAAAGGCCUUCUUCAGCAGCCUCCCACCUCAAAGCACCCCAUUUUUAUUUUGAAGGCAUAGAAGAGCCUGAAGGUACACUUGGCCGUUGCAAACAUUCAGAGAAAUCAAAAGUUAAAGCUCCUGUUAAAUGUCCCACACUGAACAAUAAGUGUGAGAGUGUUUUUGAGGACAGGGAUCAAGUAUUGUGA